UAAACAACCUGCCUUCAGGAAGGGGACAACAGACGGAAACGACUGCUAAUACCGAAUAAGUUCCAAGAGCCGCAUGGCCCAUGGAAGAAAAGGUGGCCUCUACCUGUAAGCUAUCGCCUGAAGAGGGGUUUGCGUCUGAUUAGCUGGUUGGAGGGGUAACGGCCCACCAAGGCGACGAUCAGUAGCCGGUCUGAGAGGAUGAACGGCCACACUGGAACUGAGACACGGUCCAG
rnacentral:rRNA from 1 species